GACGAACGCUGGCGGCGUGCCUAACACAUGCAAGUCGAGCGGGGUCCAUCCAGUGGCAAUACUGGGGAAGACCUAGCGGCGAACGGGUGAGUAACACGUGAGAAACCUGCCCUGAACUCUGGGAUAACCCGAGGAAACUCGAGCUAAUACCGGAUGUCCCCACCAGAUCGCAUGGUCCGGUGAGGAAAGAUUUAUCGGUUCAGGAGGGUCUCGCGGCCUAUCAGCUAGUUGGCGGGGUAACGGCCCACCAAGGCAUCGACGGGUAGCUGGUCUGAGAGGACGAUCAGCCACACUGGGACUGAGACACGGCCCAGACUCCUACGGGAGGCAGCAGUGGGGAAUAUUGCGCAAUGGGCGAAAGCCUGACGCAGCAACGCCGCGUGCGGGAUGACGGCCU
rnacentral:rRNA from 1 species